rnacentral:lncRNA from 1 species
ACCAAUAUUAGCAUCAACAACAGUAGGGGGGUUAGGAACAGUUUUCCCCAAUUUUUCAGAUAUAGCAGGGUCCUUUAAACCUAGGGUUUCAGCAGGAUUUUCAACAUUAAGACCUAAAUUAACAGAAGUCUUACCAGAUGUGUCAACAUUCUCUUCUGCAGGAUUAAUGACAGGUGUAGGAGCAUCACUCGAUGGCAGUGGAUCAUUAUACAGUUCAGACAUUGUAUAGGCCCUUCUCGAUUCAGUUCGCGAUUUCUUGCUCUUCUUC